GCGAUGAGGUCUAAAAGCAAGGCGCAAAGCAUAAAAGCAGCGGGCUUUUUGUGGAGGUUUUCAGAGACAUGGUUGAAAGAUCUUAAAAGCUGCAUUUCUAAAUCAAAGUUAAAGAAUGUGGAGGUUUUUAGAGACAACAAAGGGCAUGUGUACUGGAGGUUAAAGGGGUGUUCUGAGACGCCUGGUAUUCUUCAAGGAAGGUGCGUCUGAUGCAGACGUCAACGCGCUUCCUAAAUACAGAUUUCAGGCAUCCAAAGAUAACGAGGACAAACCUGAGGUGGGAGCGGGUAGAAUGGUUCCUGCUGAAUCAAAUGGCGGUCACAUAGCUGUCGAACGUGUUCUUCUACCUGAGGAUGCUGAUAAAAUGUUGCAACUUUCUUACAGGAUUGCUGCAUUUAUCUAAGCACAUAUGAAGAUGGAGCAGAACUUCUUUCACUUCCUUGCAACCAUCAUUUCCAUGCUACAUGCAUUGUGAAAUGGCUGAAGAUGAAUGCAACUUGCCCACUUUGCAAAUACAACAUCCUCAAGGGAAAUGAACAUGUUUAAAAAGUAAUCGAGUCUACAUGUGCAUGCUACUAUGUAUUUAUUCAUGUACAUGAGGAAAUGUAAACAAAUAACUAUGUGAUGACAAUUGAUCCUGACCAUUGGUUUUUUUUUGUAUGAGUUUGGUCUUCUUGGUACAAAUGAAGAAAAUAAUGCUUACAUUUAUAGGAUUUAUUUCAGUAGUACAUUUGUGUAGCUAUUUGAUGAGUUCAGAUCUUGUAUAUGUAACAUCCAACACCUCAUAGCCGUUAAUAUUGUUU